GAUGAAGAACGUAGCGAAAUGCGAUAAGUAGUGUGAAUUGCAGAAUACAGUGAAUCAUCGAAUCUUUGAACGCACAUUGCGCCCCUUGGUAUCCCGAGGGGCAUGCCUGUUCGAGCGUCAUUUCACCACUCAAGCCUGGCUUGGUGUUGGGCGACGUCCCCUUUGGGGACGCGCCUCGAAACGCUCGGCGGCGUGGCACCGGCUUUAAGCGUAGCAGAAUCUUUCGCUUUGGAAGUCGGGGCCCCGUCUGCCGGAAGACCUACUCGCAAGGUUGACCUCGGAUCAGGCAGGGAUACCCGCUGAACUUAAGCAUAUCAAUAAGCGGAGGA
rnacentral:misc_RNA from 1 species